rnacentral:rRNA from 1 species
ACUUAACACAUGACAAGUACGAACGGUUGUAGACAAUACAGCAGGUGGCAGGACGGGUGAGUAACACGUGGGAACCUUCCUAGGGGUACGGAACAACUCAGGGAAACUUGAGCUAGUACCGUAUACGUCCGUGAGGAGAAAGAUUUAUCGCCCUUAGACGGGCCCGCGUCGGAUUAGCUAGUUGGUGGGUAACGGCCUACCAAGGCGACGAUCCGUAGCUGAUCUUAGAGGAUGAUCAGCCACACUGGGACUGAGACACGGCCCAGACUCCUACGGGAGGCAGCAGUGGGGAAUCUUGGACAAUGGGCGCAAGCCUGAUCCAGCCAUGCCGCGUGAGUGAAGAAGGUCUUCGGAUUGUAAAGCUCUUUUGCCAGGGACGAUAAUGACGGUACCUGGAGAAUAAGCCCCGGCAAACUUCGUG